UAGGGAAUCUUCGGCAAUGGGGGCAACCCUGACCGAGCAACGCCGCGUGAGUGAAGAAGGUUUUCGGAUCGUAAAGCUCUGUUGUAAGUCAAGAACGAGUGUGAGAGUGGAAAGUUCACACUGUGACGGUAGCUUACCAGAAAGGGACGGCUAACUACG
rnacentral:rRNA from 2 species